UACGUAGGGUGCGAGCGUUGUCCGGAAUUAUUGGGCGUAAAGAGCUCGUAGGCGGUUCGUCGCGUCGGCUGUGAAAUCCCGAGGCUCAACCUCGGGUCUGCAGUCGAUACGGGCGGACUGGAGUUCGGCAGGGGAGACUGGAAUUCCUGGUGUAGCGGUGAAAUGCGCAGAUAUCAGGAGGAACACCGGUGGCGAGGGCGGGUCUCUGGGCCGAUACUGACGCUGAGGAGCGAAAGCGUGGGGAGCGAACAGG
rnacentral:rRNA from 1 species